rnacentral:rRNA from 1 species
AAAGGGCGCGUAGGCGGUUGAUCAAGUCAGGCGUGAAAGCCUCGGGCUUAACCUGAGAAUUGCGCUUGAUACUGGUUGACUUGAGAACGAGAGAGGAAAGUGGAAUUCCGAGUGUAGAGGUGAAAUUCGUAGAUAUUCGGAGGAACAUCAGAGGCGAAGGCGGCUUUCUGGCUCGUUACUGACGCUGAGGCGCGAAAGCGUGGGGAGCAAACAGGAUUAGAUACCCCAGU